GGCCUUGUGGCGCAAUGGUAGCGCGUUCGACUCCAGUUCUUCCCGAAUCUGCGAAAUCGAGAGGUUAUCCGUUCAAGCCGGGUCAGGGUCA